rnacentral:rRNA from 1 species
GACGAACGCUGGCGGCGUGCUUAACACAUGCAAGUCGAACGGAAACGCCCUGCGUUUUUGGGGUGCUCGAGUGGCGAACGGGUGAGUAACACGUGAGUAACCUGCCCUUGAUUUUGGGAUAACUUCAGGAAACUGGGGCUAAUAUCGGAUAGGAUCUCCUGCUGCAUGGUGGGGGUUGGAAAGUUUCGGCGGUUGGGGAUGGACUCGCGGCUUAUCAGCUUGUUGGUUGGGUAGUGGCUGACCAAGUCUGUGACGGGUAGCCGGCUUGGGAGGGUGACCGGCCACAAUAGGACUGCGAUACGGACCAGACUCGUACAGGAGACAAUAGGGGCGAGCAUUGUACAGUGAGAGGGAGCCUGAUAAAGAGACGCCGCGUGCGGGAUGACGGCCUUCGGGGUGUAAACCGCAUUAGCCUGUGACGAAGCGUGAGUGACGGUAAUGGGUGAAGAAGCACCGGCUAACUACGUG